rnacentral:misc_RNA from 1 species
UCCGGUUUGUCACCGGCAGUCUCCCAUGAGUCCCCGGCCGAACCGCUGGCAACAUGCGACGGGGGUUGCGCUCGUUGCGGGACUUAACCCAACAUCUCACGACACGAGCUGACGACAGCCAUGCACCACCUGUGACAGUGCCCCGGAGGGAGGGUGUGUUUCCACACCUGUCACUGACAUGUCAAGCCCUGGUAAGGUUCUUCGCGUAGCUUCGAAUUAAACCGCACGCUCCGCUGCUUGUGCGGGCCCCCGUCAAUUCCUUUGAGUUUCAGCCUUGCGGCCGUACUCCCCAGGCGGGGCACUUAUCGCGUUAGCUGCGACACCGACGGGGUCGAUCCCGCCGGCGUCUAGUGCCCAUCGUUUACGGCGUGGACUAC